rnacentral:lncRNA from 1 species
CCCCUGCCGGAAGAAGUUUGGGUGCAGCCCAGUAUUCAAGCUCCAGGACAAAGGGGGCGGGGAGGCCGCCACUAGCAAACAACCUCAGCUUCAUAAAUCCAGCAGAAAGGUCCGGGGUAUUGUUGAAAAGGUCGGAAGGACCAAGAUUAUGUCCGCCAGCCUAAGUGGGACGAACAACCAAGUUGUGCGAUGCAGCUUUAAAGGGGCUGGUGAUUGACAGAAUGGUGUAGUAGUAGAUGGGGUGGAGCCGCUGGGUGGGGUCGAGACUGGCAGCUGAGAGAUACCAAAAGGAAGAAAAAAGAAAACCAUUGCUCUUGAUAUUGCUAAUGCCGGGGGAGGUAAGCUAACGAGAAAGUAGGGAAAAGGAAGGUUUUAGAGUUCACCUCCACUCCUUCCCCUGGCUAACACUCUUUACACUCUUCUGCCUUCCCUUGAGAUAAUUAAAAUAGACUGUACACCGGCCCUAGUCGGUGCCCAUUCCCCCUAACUCUUCACUCAACUACGUGUGUAGUCCGAGGGAGUGAGGACCCCGGGUCCAAGAGCUCAAUCCCGGCCCCGCCCCGUCGGCCCAGGCCCCGGGGCUGGGAGGAGAGGAUGCCUUCGGAGGCGCAGAAUCCGAAAAAGACCAAAUCUCCAGGAUUGUGAAUCAAUCAGAGAAUGUUUAGGACUUCCAGUACUACGUAUAAGAACAGCAUUGACAAUGGGCCUCCUUGUUGUGUUACGGAUCUUCAAGAAAAGGUUUUCACUGUUUUCUCAUUGAGUAUGGUACUAGCCAUGGGUCUGUCAUAUAUGGCUUU